GAUGAACGCUGGCGGCGUGCCUAAUACAUGCAAGUCGAGCGAACGGACGAGAAGCUUGCUUCUCUGAUGUUAGCGGCGGACGGGUGAGUAACACGUGGAUAACCUACCUAUAAGACUGGGAUAACUUCGGGAAACCGGAGCUAAUACCGGAUGAUAUUUUGAACCGCAUGGUUCAAAAGUGAAAGACGGUCUUGCUGUCACUUAUAGAUGGAUCCGCGCUGCAUUAGCUAGUUGGUAAGGUAACGGCUUACCAAGGCAACGAUGCAUAGCCGACCUGAGAGGGUGAUCGGCCACACUGGAACUGAGACACGGUCCAGACUCCUACGGGAGGCAGCAGUAGGGAAUCUUCCGCAAUGGGCGAAAGCCUGACGGAGCAACGCCGCGUGAGUGAUGAAGGUCUUCGGAUCGUAAAGCUCUGUUAUUAGGGAAGAACAUAUGUGUAAGUAACUGUGCACAUCUUGACGGUACCUAAUCAGAAAGCCACGGCUAACUACGUGCCAGCAGCCGCGGUAAUACGUAGGUGGCAAGCGUUAUCCGGAAUUAUUGGGCGUAAAGCGCGCGUAGGCGGUUUUUUAAGUCUGAUGUGAAAGCCCACGGCUCAACCGUGGAGGGUCAUUGGAAACUGGAAAACUUGAGUGCAGAAGAGGAAAGUGGAAUUCCAUGUGUAGCGGUGAAAUGCGCAGAGAUAUGGAGGAACACCAGUGGCGAAGGCGACUUUCUGGUCUGUAACUGACGCUGAUGCGCGAAAGCGUGGGGAUCAAACAGGAUUAGAUACCCUGGUAGUCCACGCCGUAAACGAUGAGUGCUAAGUGUUAGGGGGUUUCCGCCCCUUAGUGCUGCAGCUAACGCAUUAAGCACUCCGCCUGGGGAGUACGACCGCAAGGUUGGAACUCAAAGGAAUUGACGGGGACCCGCACAAGCGGUGGAGCAUGUGGUUUAAUUCGAAGCAACGCGAAGAACCUUACCAAAUCUUGACAUCCUUUGACAACUCUAGAGAUAGAGCCUUCCCCUUCGGGGGACAAAGUGACAGGUGGUGCAUGGUUGUCGUCAGCUCGUGUCGUGAGAUGUUGGGUUAAGUCCCGCAACGAGCGCAACCCUUAAGCUUAGUUGCCAUCAUUAAGUUGGGCACUCUAAGUUGACUGCCGGUGACAAACCGGAGGAAGGUGGGGAUGACGUCAAAUCAUCAUGCCCCUUAUGAUUUGGGCUACACACGUGCUACAAUGGACAAUACAAAGGGCAGCGAAACCGCGAGGUCAAGCAAAUCCCAUAAAGUUGUUCUCAGUUCGGAUUGUAGUCUGCAACUCGACUACAUGAAGCUGGAAUCGCUAGUAAUCGUAGAUCAGCAUGCUACGGUGAAUACGUUCCCGGGUCU
rnacentral:rRNA from 1 species